AACGCUAGCUACAGGCUUAACACAUGCAAGUCGAGGGGCAGCAUGGUCUUAGCUUGCUUUUCUUGUUGACGACCGGCGCACGGGUGAGUAACGCGUAUCCAACCUGCCUAUAACUAGGGAAUAACCUUGCGAAAGUAAGACUAAUACCCUAUGAUUUCCUUUGAUGACAUCAGAUUAGGAAUAAAGAUUUAUCGGUUAUAGAUGGGGAUGCGUCUGAUUAGCUUGUUGGCGGGGUAACGGCCCACCAAGGCAACGAUCAGUAGGGGUUCUGAGAGGAAGGUCCCCCACAUUGGAACUGAGACACGGUCCAAACUCCUACGGGAGGCAGCAGUGAGGAAUAUUGGUCAAUGGGCGGAAGCCUGAACCAGCCAAGUAGCGUGCAGGAUGACGGCCCUAUGGGUUGUAAACUGCUUUUAUACAGGAAUAAAGUUAGCCACGUGUGGUUAUUUGUAGGUACUGUAUGAAUAAGGACCGGCUAAUUCCGUGCCAGCAGCCGCGGUAAUACGGAAGGUCCAGGCGUUAUCCGGAUUUAUUGGGUUUAAAGGGAGCGUAGGCCGUCUGUUAAGCGUGUUGUGAAAUGUAGAUGCUCAACAUCUGAAUUGCAGCGCGAACUGGCAGACUUGAGUGUGCGCAACGUAGGCGGAAUUCGUGGUGUAGCGGUGAAAUGCUUAGAUAUCACGAAGAACUCCGAUUG
rnacentral:rRNA from 1 species